GACGAACGCUGGCGGCGUGCCUAAUACAUGCAAGUAGGACGCACAGUUUAUACCGUAGCUUGCUACACCAUAGACUGUGAGUUGCGAACGGGUGAGUAACGCGUAGGUAACCUACCUAUUAGAGGGGGAUAACUAUUGGAAACGAUAGCUAAUACCGCAUAACAGUAUGUAACACAUGUUAGAUGCUUGAAAGAUGCAAUUGCAUCGCUAGUAGAUGGACCUGCGUUGUAUUAGCUAGUAGGUAGGGUAAAGGCCUACCUAGGCAACGAUACAUAGCCGACCUGAGAGGGUGAUCGGCCACACUGGGACUGAGACACGGCCCAGACUCCUACGGGAGGCAGCAGUAGGGAAUCUUCGGCAAUGGGGGGAACCCUGACCGAGCAACGCCGCGUGAGUGAAGAAGGUUUUCGGAUCGUAAAGCUCUGUUGUUAAGGAAGAACGAGUGUGAGAAUGGAAAGUUCAUGCUGGACGUACUGACCAAAAGGCG
rnacentral:rRNA from 1 species